CGCCUGGUGGUGCAGUGGUAGCACGCCUCGGUCUGAUGGUUAACGCGGCAUACUUGGAUAUGCUGCAUUGCUAGCCUGUUCUCCUUGCCCUAAGGAUGAGCAGAUUUCCGAGAGAGACGCGGGUUCGAAUCCCGCCCAGGUGA